rnacentral:lncRNA from 1 species
CAGCGUUGCGGCUCGAGGCAAAGCUGGUCCUGUGCCUGCUGUCCAUUGCCGCUAAGGCCUGCUGCUGCCAUUCAGGCGUGUCUCUCUCUCUCUCUCUCUUUCAUGCCGCUCUCUCCACCCCAUCUUGGGACGGCCAGCUCUAAGAAUUCCUGCUACGACACUGAAUUCAACCAGGACACGCAUGCGCAAGGCUUGAAUGGCGUCGGGGUUGGAGGGUUGGAAGGUCGGGAAGUGAAGGACUCGCAGGCAUAUUUAACAACGCAAAGUUGCUAGGAGUUGGUACCAGCGUUUGGGAGGUAGAGGUGGCGCUCAUGCAUAUUUGAGACAACAUCUGGAUGGUUGGGGAGAACUAAGGUUGCAAAAUGGCGAGGGGGGAGGUAAGCUGUCUUUGCUUGGCCAUCUUGGGCUAGCAGGCCUUGCAGAGAACUACCUUUUUAGCUGAGUGAAGGGAUCAACCUGAGUUGGAGUUCUCCUAUGCUGUGGCCAGAUCCACUAGAAAUUAACCCAGAAUCUUAGCCUCUCAGUGGCCUAUCUGGAGACAGGCCACAUUUGGGCAGUACGCAUUCGGAGGGCUCUCUGGCUUUCCGAUCUUGGGUCGCUGUACUUGGCUCUGAAUACAGUCACCCCAUCAGAGUAGCAAAACACUGUGGUUGUAGUGUGAGAAUCCAAUGUUAAUGUUGGCCGAAAGCUCUUGAUUUUCUUCCCUGAGAACAUAGGCGUGAGGAUUUGGAUGUGUUUCCAAAUGCUUGUUACUCUUUGCCGUAAACCUGGAAUUUGGACCUAUGGCUGCCUGGGACUCAUACUGUCGUGGAGAAAGAUUGAAAAGUAGUUAAUGGCAGUGGUGGUAUGAACUACACAGUUCUUUGCAAUGAGAAUAUGGGAAAUAAGGACUUAAUGUGAGAUAAGGCAGAAACUGAAAGAAAAUGGCUAUAGCUCACUGUUGUUUACUGGAAAUAGUAGGGGGAAGGAAAGAUGGAAGUCCAGGUCCAGUGUCAUAUACUGCCCUGCACCUUACUCACUUCUCUGCCUUUAGGGUGAUGCCACACUCAAUCAGAAACUAUGCUACUGCUGAAGAGGUAUAUUGAGCCCUGCCUGGUUAACCUCCAGUGAGGUUAUUAGAGAAUUGGGAGAGGCUCAAAUCAGCAUCCUGCACCUAGUUAUCAAACCAUUGUGAAGUCUUGAUUCCUGGAUGGCCAGAAAACUUGUCAUUGGUCAAGAGCAACAUUAAGAUCUGCCUGUUACUCAUACUGAUGCUUCCUGCCCAGCAAGUUCAUCAGAGGGCGAGGAUGAAUUACGGUUGCCAUGAAUGUCCUUGUGAGGCAGUUGGGAAGCCUUGGCUGGAUUGUGAAGGAUAUUUGAAAAGUAUUUUAGAGUCCACCAGAUCAUCCAUGUGAGUGACCAUGCAGCAAAAGAAGGAGGGUCCUCUCAGUGAUUAAGGUAACAUAGUGAUUAAGGUAAGUAGGGAAAGAGAGGCUUACUUUGCCCUGAUUCUUGUCAGGGAGGCUCUUAGAGAUGCCAUUUCCAGAGCAUAAGUGACAGGCCAGCAUUUUCAAAGCUUGCAACUUAUUCUAUAAUAUAUCCUUCUUAAAACAAUUCAUGUAGAUUAUAUGCUCACCCAGUCUGGGAUCACUCCUGCAGAAGAUCAGAAGAACUGAAAUAUAGGUGACAUAAGCUCCUGCUUUUGUAAAUGUUUUGUUGAAACACAGUUGUGUUCAUCCAUUAUUGUCGAUGGCAGCUUUCAUGCUACAGCAGAGUUGAGUAGUUGGGAGAGAAACCAAAUGGACCAUAGAGUUUGAAAUAUUACUGUCUGGCCCUUCACAGAAAGUUUGCCAAUUCCUGGCAUAGGUUAAAUAAAUGUACUAUAUCCACAAAUCCUCCUCUCCCCAUUUUCCUUUCAAUGGGACUUGCAUUUACAGUUGAUCCUAGAAUGUAUGGAAUCUCAUAGUAAUCAGCUUGCUUCUGAAUUUCUUCCCACUCAAAUUAAGCUCACUCAGAAAGCACAUUCACAAAUUGGGCUACAUAUACAGAAGGAGCUAUGUUUUAUAUGCCUCACUGUAGUCAACUCAUUUAUCCUAUAUGUAUGGUUCCCCCAUUUUUUCCUUCUUUUCAGGGGUAACUUUUAAACUUGAGCCAUUCAUGAGUAUCCAAAAAGUUACAACUUAUGUUCUCUAAUUAAGACUUCAUCCUUAUUUUAGUAUACUUCCCCUCUCUGGCUUUUUUGCAUAUUUCUGCAGAUGUCUUGACCUUUCUGGGGAGUAAGCCCCCUUAGAAGAUUAAUUUUCUGUAGUUCUCUAUUGAGGAAAUACAUGACAUUUAGCUUUUUAAUAAUUUGAUGCCAUUCAUUGAGUACCUACUGUGUGCUUUAUGUACCCUGUCUCGUUGAAUUUUUACAAAAAACUGAAAGAGUUAGUUUUGUGUUAUUACUACCUCCAUCUCAAAGAUGAGUCUUGGAAAGCUUAAGUAACUUUAGGUCACAUUGUAAUCAGUGGCAGAACUGGGACUUAAGAACAUAAUUCAUGACUGCAUUUUCUUUUCUUUCUUUCUCUUUCUUUCUCUCUCUCUCUUUUUUUUUUUUUUUUAAAGAGAUAGCAUCUCACUCACUAUGUUGCCCAGACUGGUCUUGAACUCUUGGGCUCAAGCAAUUCUUCCACCUCCGCCUCCCAAAGUGUUAGGAUUAUAGGCAUGAGCCCUCAUGCCUGCCCCUUGCAUUUUCUAUUUAAGUGAUCUUGAAGUUUUUUUUUUUCUUUUUUAAAUCUCGGAAUUUGGCCUUUAGUAAGCAUAGAAUAGCAAAGUGUAAUACCUGAGCUGGGGGAAAAAGUCCUUGAAUUCUUUAGGAAAGACUUAAUUGGUGGGUACAAAGUGAAAUGCUCACUGGAAUCAGGAAUCAGAAACCAGUUCUGAUCACCUAUCCCUACAUAUCCUUCUUCACUCUGCCCUGGCAUAUCAUGGUUGAUGUACAUAGCAAUGAUCAUCCCUUCUGUAAUCCCACUUGACAGUUUAGAAGUGGAUUGAUAAUACUCUUCUGGCUUAAAACCCUUCUUCUCUGGGCAGGUGUGGUGGCUCCUACAUUAUCCCAGCACCUUGGGAGGCCGAGAUGGGAGGAUUGUGUGAGCCCAGGAGUUUGAGACCAGCCUGGGUAACAUAGCAAGACCCUGUCUCCACAAAAAAAUAAAAAAUUAACUGGGCACGGUGGUGCUCACGCCUGUAAUCCCAGCACCUGGGGAGGCCGAGGCGGGUGGAUCACGAGGUCAAGAGAUCGAGACCAUCCUGGCCAACAUGGUGAAACCCCGUCUGUACUAAAAAUACAAAAAUUAGCCAGGCGUGAUAGCAGGCGCCUGUAGUUCCAGCUAUGGGAGGCUGAGGCAGGAGAAUCAGAUGAACCUGGGAGACGGAGGUUGCAGUGAGCUGAGAUCACGCCACUGCACUCCAGCCUGGUGACAGAGUGACACUCCGUCUGGAUUAUGAAGUAUUAAUUCUUCCACUGAUAUCUCAAAAGGUGAUCUGGACAAAGGAACAGGUAUCUCAGAUUCCCAGUUCUCAAUCUUCCUUCCUCCUUACAAGAUACAAGCAACCUUCAACCUUCCC